UUAUACGAGAGGCCCAAGUUGAUUAAAUGCGGCGUAAAGAGUGGUUAUGAAAAUUAAACAAUAAGGUCGAAUAUCCUCAGAGCAGUUAUACGCAUCCGAGGUCACGAAGCACAGUCACGAAAGUAGCCCUACUAUAAUUCUGACCCCACGAAAACCAUAGAACAAACUGGGAUUAGAUACCCCACUAUGUAUGGUCGUUAACAUCGAUGAUUCAAUACCCUAAUCAUCCGCCCGGGU
rnacentral:rRNA from 1 species